rnacentral:lncRNA from 1 species
GGGUUUUGUUCUUUUUUUGUUUGUUUGUUUUCACAAUAUCCAUCUUACUGACACAUUGAUUUAUGGUCCUUCAGCUUUUUGGGCAAAGUCCUAUAUAAUCUAACAGACAGCCACAAACUUUCUACGAAUUUUGUUAAAGAAGCUAAAGGUUUUCUAAUCUUCUCUUAAACACGAAUUAGCUUUGGCAUUCUCUGAAGGAACUUCAGAAGUAUGAAGGUUGGAAAUGAAUCAGUCAUGCAUUAGUCACAUUUUAUACUCUUGCUAUGAGAGUGAAGCAGUGGUGGACUGGGCUCCAGGUUCCAGUGCUACAGGUUUCAGAAUCUGGGAAAGUGUGAGUACUGGAAAAUACGUCUCACAGCCAGAAGAAGCAAACUCCAUGAAUCUCUUCCAUAAGAGAUCUCAGAAUCCAGGAACCCUCUCAGACUCCCCAUAUUCCCAGUUUGAAGUUGUUGUGUAUUUUCAGAUGUGAUACCUUUUACAGCUACAAAUUCUUAGCAUUAAAAAAAAAAAAUUAAAAAAAAAAUCUAGUAAAAAGUGAGAAUAUUGUUUCAUAAGGAUUAGUUUGCAUGCCUUGAUUGUCUUAAGAUAGGGCAGUUAAGUUGUGGAGAUCCCUGCUCAUCUCAGCUGGUAUGGAAAGAUGUGAUUUACCCUGUGUUGUUCCCUUAGUCAUUCCCCAUCACUACUGUGUUUUGUAUCAUAAUAUAUGUAUGAUUUCUUGGAAUUUGUUGUCCAAAGAAGGACUUUUCGCAGUCAGCUGAGGUUGUACUUCAUUGGAAGGAGAUUCUUUUGUGAAGCUUUGCUGGGGAUAGUACUUUCCUCUACUUACCUCAGGUGCAGACCAUGGACU